GAGGUAACUGAAAUGUUGUGUGAACCAGAUCUGGCUAAUGAGGAGAGGAGCUUCUGAGGCACAGAGCUGAUGGGCAGCAUGGCUUGGCCCCCACAGCUAUGGCACAGGGAGCAGGGUCAUCAAAAUCCACUCUGCUCUUCCAGAAGCUGCAGAGAGAGGGAACCCUAAAACCUGACAUGCCAGAAAAGAUGGAGUUUUGCUCUUGUUGCCCAAGCUGGAGUGCAAU
rnacentral:lncRNA from 1 species